AAACAUUUAGGAAGCUAUCACAAUUGGGCCCACAUUCAAAUCAUGCAUUAUUAUCAUUUCAUGAACAUUUGAAGUCAAAGUAAGGCAAAGGAAAGCACAAAUAGGUCAACAGCAAGACUUCAUUCAAAAGUCAACCCAAACAAUCUCAAAAAUCAUCAAAUAAAUCACAUUCAAUCCUAACAUCUAGCAUGGCAAGCAUGUCAAAUUUCAUGGCAUUUGGAUGAGAGGA
rnacentral:lncRNA from 1 species